AGCAUGUGGUUUAAUUCGAAGCAACGCGAAGAACCUUUACCAGGUCUUGACAUCCCGAUGCUAUUUCUAGAGAUAGAAAGUUACUUCGGUACAUCGGUGACAGGUGGUGCAUGGUUGUCGUCAGCUCGUGUCGUGAGAUGUUGGGUUAAGUCCCGCAACGAGCGCAACCCCUAUUGUUAGUUGCCAUCAUUCAGUUGGGCACUCUAGCGAGACUGCCGGUAAUAAACCGGAGGAAGGUGGGGAUGACGUCAAAUCAUCAUGCCCCUUAUGACCUGGGCUACACACGUGCUACAAUGGUUGGUACAACGAGUUGCGAGUCGGUGACGGCGAGCUAAUCUCUUAAAGCCAAUCUCAGUUCGGAUUGUAGGCUGCAACUCGCCUACAUGAGGUCGGAAUCGCUAGUAAUCGCGGAUCAGCACGCCGCGGUGAAUACGUUCCCGGGCCUU
rnacentral:rRNA from 1 species